rnacentral:rRNA from 1 species
UACGAAGGGGGCUAGCGUUGUUCGGAUUUACUGGGCGUAAAGCGCACGUAGGCGGAUCGUUAAGUCGGGGGUGAAAUCCUGGAGCUCAACUCCAGAACUGCCUUCGAUACUGGCGAUCUUGAGUCCGGAAGAGGUGAGUGGAACUCCUAGUGUAGAGGUGGAAUUCGUAGAUAUUCGGAAGAACACCAGUGGCGAAGGCGGCUCACUGGCCCGGUACUGACGCUCAGGUGCGAAAGCGUGGGGAGCAAACAGG